rnacentral:rRNA from 1 species
UACGUAGGGUGCGAGCGUUAAUCGGAAUUACUGGGCGUAAAGCGUGCGCAGGCGGUUUUGUAAGUCAGAUGUGAAAUCCCCGGGCUCAACCUGGGAACUGCGUUUGAAACUACAAGGCUAGAGUGUAGCAGAGGGGGUAGAAUUCCACGUGUAGCAGUGAAAUGCGUAGAGAUGUGGAGGAAUACCAAUGGCGAAGGCAGCCCCCUGGGUUAACACUGACGCUCAUGCACGAAAGCGUGGGAGCAAACAGG